GUCCACGUGGCCUAAUGGAUAAGGCGUCUGACUUCGAAUCAGAAGAUUGCAGGUUCGAGUUCGAGUCCUGUCGUGGACG
rnacentral:tRNA from 1 species